AACGAACGCUGGCGGCAGGCUUAACACAUGCAAGUCGAGCGCCCCGCAAGGGGAGCGGCAGACGGGUGAGUAACGCGUGGGAAUCUACCCAUCUCUACGGAAUAACGCAUGGAAACGUGUGCUAAUACCGUAUACGUCCUUCGGGAGAAAGAUUUAUCGGAGAUGGAUGAGCCCGCGUUGGAUUAGCUAGUUGGUGGGGUAAAGGCCUACCAAGGCGACGAUCCAUAGCUGGUCUGAGAGGAUGAUCAGCCACACUGGGACUGAGACACGGCCCAGGCUCCUACGGGAGGCAGCAGUGGGGAAUGUUGGACAAUGGGCGCAAGCCUGAUCCAGCCAUGCCGCGUGAGUGAUGAAGGCCCUAGGGUUGUAAAGCUCUUUCACCGGUGAAGAUAAUGACGGUAACCGGAGAAGAAGCCCCGGCUAACUUCGUGCCAGCCGCCGCCGUAAUAC
rnacentral:rRNA from 1 species